CGAGGACGAACGCUGGCGGCGUGCUUAACACAUGCAAGUCGAGCGAUGAAGCACCUUCGGGUGUGAAUUAGCGGCGAACGGGUGAGGAACACGUGAGAAAUCUGCCUUCAACACUGGGAUAACUCCGGGAAACCGGGGCUAAUACCGGAUAUGAAACCUGCGGGCAUCCGCGGGUUUGGAAAGUUUUUCGGUUGAAGAUGAUCUCGCGGCCUAUCAGCUUGUUGGUGAGGUAAUGGCUCACCAAGGCGACGACGGGUAGCCGGCCUGAGAGGGCGACCGGCCACACUGGGACUGAGACACGGCCCAGACUCCUACGGGAGGCAGCAGUGGGGAAUAUUGGGCAAUGGAGGAAACUCUGACCCAGCGACGCCGCGUGCGGGAUGAAGGCCUUCGGGUUGUAAACCGCUUUCAGCAGGGAAGAAGCGAAAGUGACGGUACCUGCAGAAGAAGCACCGGCUAACUAUGUG
rnacentral:rRNA from 1 species